AUGCCUCCUCCUGAGAGGCCUGGGACUCCUUGUUCUUCUGCUUCCAAUCGGCAAAGGCCUUGUCAGAGUGCUGCAGUUUCUGAUCCAGUGCAGCUGCUGCUGAGCGGGCCUUCCCAAGGUCAGACAGGGUGGCCCCAACUUCAAGCUGCAGCUGGUGCCUGGCCCUCUCCAGGGAGGCAUUCCUGGCAAUGGCCACCUGAGUGGCUUUUCAGCAGUCUCCUGCAACCUAAUGGCCAGCUUCUUCCUGAGAAGGGCAGACCCAAAGGAUCACAGUACCAUAGUCCAGGUGGCUGAAGAGAAGAAAUGUGAAAGGAGUACCGUAAUGACAUGAAGGCAUCAGACUGGAGAGAGGGUUGAGUAUCAGGACCGGGUGUUUGGAGUAUAAACGACAAAGCAGGAUCUGAAGAUGUCUAACUGGUAAGCAGUAAGAUUUUUUUCAAGCCAAUGGUUCUUAAUCAUAAUUAGAUAUCAGAAUUACCCAUGUAAAUCCUUGGGACUUCAAAGGGCUUAAUACCCAAGAAUGGAGUCUAAGGCAACUUUCUCUUUAUUUUUAAAGCUUGACAAAUAGAUUUGAUACAAAGAUAAAAUUUAGAUAUAC
rnacentral:lncRNA from 1 species